rnacentral:rRNA from 1 species
GACGAACGCUGGCGGCGUGCUUAACACAUGCAAGUCGAACGGUAAGGCCCUUCGGGGUACGACGAGUGGCGAACGGGUGAGUAACACGUGGGUGAUCUGCCCUGCACUUCGGGAUAAGCCUGGGAAACUGGGUCUAAUACCGGAUAGGACCAUGGACUUCACGGUUUGUGGUGGAAAGCUUUUGCGGUGUGGGAUGGGCCCGCGGCCUAUCAGCUUGUUGGUGGGGUAAUGGCCUACCAAGGCGACGACGGGUAGCCGGCCUGAGAGGGUGUCCGGCCACACUGGGACUGAGAUACGGCCCAGACUCCUACGGGAGGCAGCAGUGGGGAAUAUUGCACAAUGGGCGCAAGCCUGAUGCAGCGACGCCGCGUGAGGGAUGACGGCCU